CCAUAAGCUAUCUGGAAACAUCUCCUCCGACCGAAGCAAAACCUGGAGGGACUGCUGUCCCGUGAGGCCUGACUCCUCCUGGUGCAUUCUUGCUCCCACAGACAUUACCUUCUUCACCUUACUCCCUGCGGGUGGUGAGCAGCCAUUCACUCCCCAUGCCUAGGAUUCCUGGCUGCGCUGGCAAGCCCUCACCCCAGGCUUCCCAAGGCAGUCCUUCCUGCACCCUCCCUGGCCUCUCAGAAGGGUUAUGCUGUUCACUCCAUCAUCCCACCUUCAGAACCCUAUAUUUUUUGUUUUCCUUUGGAUUCCUAGAGCUUUCGCACACUGACCCCUUCUCAGCAGGUUGGUUUUCUCUGACCUGCAGGUCUCCCUUACCCCCCCGCACCCCACCCGCAAAUGUUGUCUCCUUUGUUAUCUAUUUGUGCAUGCCUCUUCAAAGGCUCUAUCCAUCCACUCUGGGUGGAGAGUUAUAUUCUUUUAAAAAACUAUAUAUGGGUGUACCACCAGCAUGCAGUGGCCAUGGAGGCUAGAACUCCCCAGGGCUGGGGUUACAGGUAUUAUAAGCCACUAUAUGGAUGCUGGUAAUUGAACCCAGUUCCAUGGACUUUUUCCCAAUACCUCUGGUCACUUGCAACAGUCUGCUUGGAUCCUUCUGGCCCCUGCAGGCACUGCGCUCUUGAGGUACAGACAUACAUGCAGGUGCAAUACCCAUAUACAUAAAUCAAUAAUAAAGACAAAAAUAAACGUUUAAAUAGAGUUGCCCAGUAAUGAGGCAACAAUGCCCCUGCUAGACACCAGAGGCUAAUAAAUAAAAAGCCCAGUACCAGGAACUGGUUGUUUAGUCGUUGGCCACUGAAUUUCCCUAGGUCCCAAUAUUACAGGCUACUACCACUGUUCUUGGCUGCCCUCGAACUUGAUAGUGAGACUCUGUUGCUGACUAUACCGCAUACUGGAGUCAUGGGACAUGGAGAAACUAAGCAAGUACUGACCUGGAAGCUGCAGUGCUCCUGGCUACCUUUCACACAGUCUUACCAAGCUGUGAAUCCUGCAGUCUGUGACGACAACCGCUCUAGUAUCCCACCGAAGCAAUAGUGCCAUAAACAUCAUGGGAGCAGCCAACCAUUUGUGAUUGACUUAAGUCCUACUUCACAAGGGUUUCUCUGUGUAUCCCUAUCCCUGGCUGUCCUGGAACUCACUCUGUAGACCAGGCUGGCUUCAAACUCAGAAAUCUACCUACCUCUGCCUCCCAAGUGCUGGGAUUAAAGGCAUGCAUCAUCACUGCCUGGCUAAUGUAUCUUUCCACCCUUAUCAAUGAACCUUCUAUUUGUGGUAGGGGGUGAUGAAGAGAGACUCACAAGUGGCCAUGAGCAGCUUCUCUGUCCCCAUCCCAUUGUUCCCAUUUGUGAACUGCCUUCGUUUACA
rnacentral:lncRNA from 1 species